GACGAACGCUGGCGGCGUGCUUAACACAUGCAAGUCGAACGGAAAGGCCCUGCUUUUGUGGGGUGCUCGAGUGGCGAACGGGUGAGUAACACGUGAGUAACCUGCCCUUGACUUUGGGAUAACUUCAGGAAACUGGGGCUAAUACCGGAUAGGAGCUCCUGCUGCAUGGUGGGGGUUGGAAAGUUUCGGCGGUUGGGGAUGGACUCGCGGCUUAUCAGCUUGUUGGUGGGGUAGUGGCUUACCAAGGCUUUGACGGGUAGCCGGCCUGAGAGGGUGACCGGCCACAUUGGGACUGGGAUACGGCCCAGACUCCUACGGGAGGCAGCAGUGGGGAAUAUUGCACAAUGGGCGGAAGCCGAAUGCAGCAACGCCGCGUGCGGGAUGACGGCCUUCGGGUUGUAAACCGCUUUCGCCUGUGACGAAGCGUGAGUGACGGUAAUGGGUAAAGAAGCACCGGCUAACUACGUG
rnacentral:rRNA from 1 species